AUCGAACGCUGGCGGCAGGCCUAACACAUGCAAGUCGAGCGGAGCGGCGGACGGGUGAGUAAUGCCUAGGAAUCUGCCUGGUAGUGGGGGAUACCGUCCGGAAACGGGUGCUAAUACCGCAUACUAUCAGAUGAGCCUAGGUCGGAUUAGUUAGUUGGUGGGGUAAAGGCCUACCAAGGCGAGGAUCCGUAACUGGUCUGAGAGGCGGAUCAGUCACACUGGAUCUGAGACACAGCCCAGACUCUGACGGGGGGCAGCAGGGGGGAAUAUGGGACAAGGGGCGAAAGCCUGAUCCAGCCAAACCGGGUGUGUGAAGAAGGUCGUCGGAUUGUGAAGCACUUUAGGUUGGGAGGCGUUACCAACAGAAUAAGCACCGGCUAACUUCGUGCCAGCAGCCGCGGUAAUUC
rnacentral:rRNA from 1 species